rnacentral:rRNA from 1 species
CUUGACAUCCACGGAAUUUGGCAGAGAUGCCUUAGUGCCUUCGGGAACCGUGAGACAGGUGCUGCAUGGCUGUCGUCAGCUCGUGUUGUGAAAUGUUGGGUUAAGUCCCGNAACGAGCGCAACCCUUAUCCUUUGUUGCCAGCGAUUCGGUCGGGAACUCAAAGGAGACUGCCGGUGAUAAACCGGAGGAAGGUGGGGAUGACGUCAAGUCAUCAUGGCCCUUACGAGUAGGGCUACACACGUGCUACAAUGGCGCAUACAAAGAGAAGCGACCUCGCGAGAGCAAGCGGACCUCAUAAAGUGCGUCGUAGUCCGGAUCGGAGUCUGCAACUCGACUCCGUGAAGUCGGAAUCGCUAGUAAUCGUGGAUCAGAAUGCCACGGUGAAUACGUUCCCGGGCCUUGUACACACCGCCCGUCACACCAUGGGAGUGGGUUGCAAAAGAAGUAGGUAGCUUAACCUUCGGGAGGGCGCUUACCACUUUGUGAUUCAUGACUGGGGUGAAGUCGUAACAAGGUAAGCGUAGAUGA